AACGUGCCCAGUCGUGGGGGAUAACGUAGAGAAAUUUACGCUAAUACCGCAUACGAUCUAAGGAUGAAAGCGGGGGACUCGCAAGAGCCUCGCGCGAUUGGAGCGGCUGAUAUCAGAUUAGGUUGUUGGUGAGGUAAAAGCUCACCAAGCCGACGAUCUGUAGCUGGUUUGAGAGAACGACCAGCCACACUGGGACUGAGACACGGCCCAGACUCCUACGGGAGGCAGCAGUGGGGAAUUUUGGACAAUGGGCGAAAGCCUGAUCCAGCAAUGCCGCGUGCAG
rnacentral:rRNA from 1 species